GGCCUCAAAUCAGGUAGGGCUACCCGCUGAACUUAAGCAUAUCAAUA
rnacentral:rRNA from 1 species